rnacentral:rRNA from 1 species
GGCAACGGCCAUACCACGUUGAAAACACCGGUUCUCGUCUGAUCACCGAAGAAGUUAAGCAACGUUGGGUUUGGUUAGUACUUGGAUGGGUGACCGCCUGGGAAUACCAAAUGCUGUUGUCU